UACGUAGGGUGCAAGCGUUGUCCGGAAUUAUUGGGCGUAAAGAGCUCGUAGGCGGUUCGGCGCGUCGGCUGUGAAAACCCGGAGCUCAACUCCGGGCCUGCAGUCGAUACGGGCGGACUUGAGUGUUGCAGGGGAGACUGGAAUUCCUGAUGUAGCGGUGAAAUGCGCAGAUAUCAGGAGGAACACCGGUGGCGAAGGCGGGUCUCUGGGCAACUACUGACGCUGAGGAGCGAAAGCGUGGGGAGCGAACAGG
rnacentral:rRNA from 1 species